rnacentral:rRNA from 1 species
CCUACGGGAGGCAGCAGUAGGGAAUCUUGCACAAUGGGCGAAAGCCUGAUGGAGCAACGCCGCGUGGGUGAAGAAGGUCUUCGGAUCGUAAAACCCUGUUGUUAGAGAAGAAAGUUCGAGAGAGUAACUGUUCACGUUUCGACGGUAUCUAACCAGAACGGCACGGCUAACGACGGAACAGCAGCCGAGGUAAUACGUAGGUGGGAAGCGUUAUCCGGAUUUAUUGGGCGUAAGGGGAACGCAGGCGGUCUUUUAAGUCUGAUGUGAAAGCCUUCGGCUUAACCGGAGUAGUGCAUUGGAGACUGGGAGACUUGAGUGCAGAAGAGGAGGGCGGAACUCCAGGUGUAGCGGUGAAAUGCGUAGAUAUAUGGAAGAACAC